CGCACAUGGCGCCCCCCGGUAUCCCGGGGGGCAUGCCUGUCCGAGCGUCGUUUCAACCCUCGGGCCCUGUUGGUUAUACCGGCAGUGGCCCGGCGUUGGGGAACCUACGCGCCGACGUAGGCCCCGAAAAGCAGUGGCGGACCCGCGCCGGCCCCCCCUUUGCGUAGUAGCAUCAGCCUCGCAUCGGGAGCCCGCGGGCUAUCCUUGCCUCUAAACCCCCCCCGAAAGUCCGUCUCUGGCGGCACCAAAGGUUGACCUCGGAUCAGGUAGGAAUACCCGCUGAACUUAA
rnacentral:misc_RNA from 1 species